UGCCACUUAGCUACAGUGGCUCAGUUGGUAAGGCAUGAGACUCUAAUUCUCGGGGCUGUGGGUUCGAGCCCCCAAGCUGGGCAA